GACGAACGCUGGCGGCGUGCUUAACACAUGCCAGUCGAACGGAAAGGCCCUGCUUUUGUGGGGUGCUCGAGUGGCGAACGGGUGAGUAACACGUGAGUAACCUGCCCUUGACUUUGGGAUAACUUCAGGAAACUGGGGCUAAUACCGGAUAGGAGCUCCUGCUGCAUGGUGGGGUUGGAAAGUUUCGGCGGUUGGGGAUGGACUCGCGGCUUAUCAGCUUGUUGGUGGGGUAGUGGCUUACCAAGGCUUUGACGGGUAGCCGGCCUGAGAGGGUGACCGGCCACAUUGGGACUGAGAUACGGCCCAGACUCCUACGGGAGGCAGCAGUGGGGAAUAUUGCACAAUGGGCGGAAGCCUGAUGCAGCAACGUCGCGUGCGGGAUGACGGCCUUCGGGUUGUAAACCGCUUUCGCCUGUGACGAAGCGUGAGUGACGGUAAUGGGUAAAGAAGCACCGGCUAACUACGUG
rnacentral:rRNA from 1 species